CUUUAUUGGAGAGUUUGAUCCUGGCUCAGGACGAACGCUGGCGGCGUGCCUAAUA
rnacentral:rRNA from 1 species